AAGGGAGAGUAGCGGAUGGGGAUGCAGACCAUAUUAAUACAAAACCACUAUUAUUUAGGAACCAGAAUAUUUUGAAUAAAGGAAAAGAAAGAAGAAGAAGAAGAGCUACAGGUAGUUUGCAAACACAGUAUCCAUUACAGUGCAGACUGCAGAACUACAAGAACUAAAAAACAGGAAUUACCUUUUAUGGAAUCUGCUUGCCUUAACAAAUACUCCUCCUCCAAAGAGACAUCUGCAAGCCGGGUUGAGUUGAGUAGAGUAUGAUCCAAGUCUAAGAUCAGUAUUAGCUUUUUUUCGCGCAACAAGUUCUUAAGAUCUUCCUUCCGUAGUCUGUCACUCUCCCUAGUCCCUAAUUUUAAAUCCUGCAAAAACAAAUAUUUCAUAUGAUACCACAUGGAACUGCAGUGAAUACUCCUCAAUAUGCAAAAAAGUGUUAACAAAGCUAACAUAGGUGGCUGGAUUAAAAGUUCACUUGCUCCAAAAUAAUUCAAACGAAACCAAGCUCCGUUUCAUAACCCUCAUUCAGCUCGACUAGAAAAUUCAUUAUUCAAUAUAUUCAGAGUGACAGUACAGAAUCAUUAUUGGUGUAUACAAGGUUCGUUGUAUCGGAUCCGGUAGGCAUACCGGUCACCUACCGGACCGGUACGAUUCCAGUUCGUACCAGUACGAACCGACUAGCUUUUUCCCGCUGGAGCCAGGGAAGAAGAAGAGAACGAGAGAGAGCGCGGGGAAGAGAAGGUGGGAGGAGACCUGUGGCCGCCAUCGAAGAGCCGGAGGAGAGGGGUGGUGGAGCUCCGAGGGGGGAACCCGCGGAGGUGCGACAGAGGCCGAG
rnacentral:lncRNA from 1 species